UGGAGAGACAGCAAACGCAAAAUCCCUCCAAAUUUGUGUUGUUAUGCACUGGAGGAGAGCCAUGGGGACAACCACCAGAACGGGUGAAGCAACAGCUUGGUUUCAGAGCUAAAAUGAGAGGCCGUAAAGGACAGGUGGCUGCAGCCAGUCUGUCCCUGUCUGAGGGGUGGAUGUUGCUGAAGCUGCUCUCAUUGUGCAGAGGAAGAAGAGCCAUAAGCCUGUGCCAGAGGAACGGGUGGGAAAAAUCAGUCAAGAAAGAAAUUACAAGCAAAAAGGCAACAAAAUGAGUGGGCUCCUGGCCAGGCUCUCUAAGGCAGAUGGCACUGUUGGUUACAACAGCUGCAACUGAAAAUCGAGGAGACAACAGGGGUAGCUGACAAAUAUUUAAAGAUUGCUGCCAGCUGUUGAGCCCAAACGAUAUCUCCUUCUCUACAAAGGAGAGGAAGCUUUGCACUGGGACUCCUUUACCUUCUUUUCAUCUUUUCAUGGUAGAGAUGCUAUUUAAACACUGCUAGAAGGAUCAAGCUCCUGAAUGCCAGCAGUGUGUUACCCUGCAGCAAGAUCCUUAAGCCCUGGUGGAUUUGCAGCCUCUCAUUUUAUUUUCUAAAGCAGAUGCAUCAUAUCCCCUAGGACUGCAGUAAUAAUAAUGGAAGGAAACAGGCAAAAAUACAAUGAGAUAAGUAUGUUUCAGUCUCGGUGCUCCUGCACAGAGAGAGCUGGGAAAGCAGUACAGGGGAUGAAUCUAUUGGAAAAAACAACAACGAGCUGAAAAAGCAAGCAGAAGAGCGACAGCAGAAAACCUCUGAUCAGAGUUUGUGUUUCACUUCUGCUCUAUAUCCAAGCUGACAGAUAUAUCUUUUCCUUGUUGUCUGUUCCUUCCAAAUAUCCCUGUGGGACAGCUGACAUUGCAGCGGGGCAAACCAACUUCCUACAGACUGUUAACAUACAGUGGACCUAAAGAAGGGAAAGAUUUCGCCUUCUGGCCCAAAAUGGACAACAACUCUCCCCUGCUAGUGCCUCUGCAGAUAAGGUGGCAAGCUGUCUUUGUGUGUAAAGAGGUGGCUCAGACUGGUUAUGUGCAUUUAUAUCUUGUCUCUAAGACAACCCCUUCCAUCCUGCUAGGCAGGGACAGUGACAAUGACAACAGUCCAUGGCAAUGACAGUGUCGGUGGCAACAGCUCUGUGGAGGUGAACCUCCAUCCAGUGUCAUCUCAGGCUUCUUGGCUGGGUUCUGCAGUCACAAAAUUGAGUGUGAGAGGAUGCAGGUAAUGGCUUUCCAUCAUUGUGUCUUCCUGGGGCUGCUCUGUGUCCCUGGGCACUGUGAGCCAGGCAGUCUGCUGCUCUCCUCUGCUCCUGAGUGCUUGGAGCUGGCUCACAGGGAUGAACAAUCCAAACAACUUCAGGUGCCUUUGGAUGAAACCAGCUGUGACUGCCUCUUUCUAUUAUUUGACAGCCUGAAAUUUUGCCAGAAGCUAUAAGGAAAUUAUUUGUCUAAAGCCAGUGGCUUGAAGUUUGGCUUUCAAAUCCAUAUUUAGCUACCUCUUUUAAACACCCUGAUAUCAAAAAAAAAAAAGGAUGCUCACACUGAAGCUCAAUACUUACAAAAAUUAUAUUUCUCCCAGCCACAUCUACACAGCACUUACCACAGCGGGGCCUGGGUUCAGGACCAGAAAAAUGCUCUUGGUGUAGAUAUAGGUUGUAAUGAAAUACUAAAUGACUGCAGAGAAGGGAUGGAGCUAAAGCCCCUGCCUCACUUAUUGCUGGAGGAACAGAAAUCAUAUUCACACCUCAGGAGCAGAAAACAUCAAACAUCUUUUGGAGCUUCACCUUGCAGCUGGGUAGACUGGUGGAAAACUAAACGUUCUGACUCAGAGGACUCAGGAUGAUAUCCACAAAAAUAUCCAUUAUCACAAACAUUGACUGUCCAUGUAUAAGUAUCUGGCAGAGAAAUGAAGUAGAAUUUCCCCAAGGCAGUGCUGUGAGAAAGGAGCACUGGGGGAGAGUGUCAGGUCCUGGGAACUUGAGGGUCCUUUCGGCUGC